rnacentral:lncRNA from 1 species
AGAAACUCCUUUCAACUAAAUCUUUAAAAUACCCAAAUCCGAUCUCCUCGAGAGAUUGACUUUGAUUCAAUUGCUUUAUGAAACCCUGUGCAAUCCAAAAUUGAACAAGCGCUUGUACUUCAAUUCUGUAAUCUUUUGGAUACAAUCGGCAAUAAGCAAAGCAAUGCUUCAAAUGAGACGGGAGAUGAUCAUAACUCAAUUUCAGUAUAGGUAGAAGUUCUCCUUCAAUUUGUGAUAUUUUAGCUAGUUCAUUUUCUUUGAAAGAAUGCCACUCAUUUGCAGUUUUCUUCAAAGAUAAUGUACCAGCUAUCGUCCUUAUGGCUAAGGGAACCCCACCACACCUUCCCGAAAUCUGUCUCCCCACUUCCACAAAGGCUGAAUUUGUUGAGUCUGCAUAUCCUUGCUCAAAUGCUAUCUUUUUGAACAAAGACCAAGCAUCAUCAUCAGACAAGCCUUUCAAUUUCAAAACAUGGAAUUGACAUUUAUUAGUUAUUAUUAUCCUACUCCCUUUAGCCCCACCCAUCAAUAACUUCUUUAGCCUACACCACUUUUCUGGGUCCUCAUUCCAAAUGUCAUCCAAAACAAGCAAAUAUUUUUUCCCAUCAAUUCUAUCUCGAAGUUGUUUUUGCAAUUGAUCCAUUUCAAGAUUUUGAUCAGGUGCUUGAUUAGUCACAGAUUUGAUAAUAUUUGCUACAAUAACUUUCACAUCAAAAUCAUCUGAAGCACACGCAAACAUCGUUAAGUCAAAAUUAUUUUUGACCAUAAUAUUUAUAUUUUAUUUUAUAUUUGUUUAAGUUCGGCCUGGUCCAAAAUAUAAAUUUAAAGUUUGUUCAAAUUUGUAAACAACUAACUCAAACUCAUUUUAAAUCCACUCAUAAUAUUUUUUAAAAAAUUAAAAUGUAUUUAUAUUAUUUUUAACUUAAUAUUUAAUAAUUUUACAUUUUUAUUAAAAUUUUAUAUAUAGUCAUCGUAACAUUAUAAUAGCAUUAUAAAUUUAAUUUUUAUUUUUUUACAAAUUACAUAAAAUAUAAAAGUAACAUAAUAUAAAAUUUUGCAAACUAAAAAAAUAAGUUGGGCCAAACUUAGGCUUUGGAUAUUCAAAUUUGAGAUCGACCUAUAUUUUAAACGGGCCUAUUUUUUGAAUUAAAUAGUUUUACCCAAAUUCUCCAAAAUUUCAAGUGAGUAAGUCUAGAUUGACUAAAUUUAUUAUACUCUUUCCCUUUUAUUUCCCUAUUGUUUUGGAUUAACAAUACAUUUAUUAAAACUUUAUUGCUUGUAUAGGGAUGAUUAUAUAUUAAAGUUUGACAAUGAUUGUACAAAGCUAUUUUAUUCAUAACCAAGUCAAGAAAUUGUCACUCCACACAGUUGUCUACUUUUUCAAAAUCUACUUUAAAAGAUAGCACCUCCCCUUCUUCACAUCUUUGAAUAUAGUUCACAGUUUCGUUUUUACUGGAGCACGAUCCAGGAUUUAUCAAUCUGAAAUAAAAGUAAAAUUGAAUUUUAUCGAUGGUUUUGAGCCGAGCUUCGAAUCUAUAUAGUCAAAAUAGUCUUACAUAAUGUACACAAGAUUGUCUGAUAAUUUAUUGUGUUUCCAUGUGUUGGAUUAUUAUUUGAAACCCCGAAACAGAAAAUUGUAUUUUUUUUUUUGAAGUUGACACACACAAAAGUAAAAAUAAAGGAGAAUAAAGAACACAACCAAGAUGUUUACGCAGUUCAGAACUCAUCCUACAUUUGUGAGCUUUGUCUAGAGAUAAAAUCGCUAUAAACUUCACAGUACAAUGAAAUUAUUUAUGCCCAACCCUCCAAACUUGAUGCAACCUCACCUUUGUACAAUUAAGUAAACACUCUUCCAACUUAGUGAAAAUCAACACUCAUAAGGUGGCACUCAAAUAAUAGUUACUCACUAAGUGUUCCUUUAAGUCCACAAAUCAUCUAUUUAUACAAGCUCCAAGAUCAGCUGAUGAAGAAUGCAUACAGAUAUGAUAGGUAAGUGCUUAAAUGAAGAAAGCAGAGCAUAUAGUACAACCAUUUUGAAGGCUUCAUAGGCCUCUCUCUCCACAUCAAUCAUUUUUUAGAAUUAAAUUAUUAGAAGCAAUUGUCAAGUUAUUGUUAUGAUUUAAAAGUAAAAAGCAAAUAGAUAAAUUAGCACUUCUUUUUAUGCAUAUAAAAUGAUUGAAGUUGUCUAAUGCCUUUCUCCAGUGCCUUACUGCACAAAUCAGCAAAAAUAUUAUGAAAGGUGAUAAGUAAAAAGUAGGAUUAAAACAAAGGGAUUUUAACAAGGAAAUUAACAGUAUCCAACUUGAAUGAAAAAUGGCAUCAGACCCCUGACUUGGAGAUUCAAUAUACCACUCUUAUUUUUCUUCAAAAAAAGAUAAGGUCGUCAAAAUAAAUAAAUAACAAAGACGGACCAACCUGUUACUACAAAAUGUGGGGGAUGUGAGCUAUCUUAUGCCAAUCAGCACCAAUGUCCUUCCGACAUCUUUCCUCCAACUGAGGAAUUCUUUUUAUUUCUAAAUACUCCAAACUGGUUAGGCAACGCAUCUCGUCCGGAAGAGAUGUUAAAUUGGGCAAAUUAACGAGAUAAAGCCGUUGCAGAUUUGUUAGAUGUUGAAGCCACUCCGGAAGAUGCCGACACUUUGGAAUAAUUUUCAGCCAUAGAGAGCGUAGGCUUGUAUGAUCUUGGAAUAUUUGGAUGCAAGCUCCAGAUAACUCCAGCUCCUUGCAGUCCUUUACUUCAAACUUUUCAAGGAAAGUGAGAUGUUGGAACACAGGAAGCAGUGACCUCAAUCCAUUGCAGUUAUGAAUUUCUAAUGUUUUCAGUUGAAAAAGAUGUUGAAGCCAAAUGGGGAGAGACACCAGCUUUGGAAUAUUAUCAAUCUCCAAAUGAGAGAGAUUCUGAAGGGGUUCCCAUUGCAUGCCCUCUAAAUCAACCUCCUUGCAAUCUCUUAUUGUUAAUCUUUUGAGGCUGGUGAGAUGUUGCAGGCACUCAUCUAGCGUGUGAGUGUCCAACCCCUCAAUGUUCUGUACAAGGAAAGAUUUCAAUUUGGAGAGUGGAAGAGAAGAGGUUGAAGUUGAUGGGGCCUUAGCAUUGAUGUUCAUUUUGAUAGUCUGCUUUAACGGCCUUGAACUGGUAUUCCACAACAUUAGCCCUUUAUCGAGUGAUGGAUACAGUGGCAUCAAAGUCAAAGGGAAAUUUAAAAUCCAUAAAUUGGAAAGACAAGGAAAUGCCAUGGUUGAUGUUCCCAUAACUGUUGUGUCGUCCUCGUUGGAAUCAUCAUCGAUUGGUUUUGUCAUCCUCCACCAACUCUUCAUAUUCGGGCAGCAAAAGAGCUGAAGAUGCUUAAGCGAUGGGAAGAAUGAUUGUGGUUCUCCUUGACUUCCUUUUGGGCUACUAUCAUCCAUGUACUCCAGCUUAGUACAAUCAUGUAUAUCCAGCACUUCAAGACAACGAAAUUGAGCAAAGGACGGGAGAUGUUUGAAAUUACUAUCACUUAUGUAAAUUCUGACGAGAUUUGUGAGCAAAGAAAGCCAACUCGGAAACUUGGCAUCACCCCUCCAUCCUCCAAUAUGGAGCUGCUUGAGAUUAGGAUGGGGCUGGAGGUCUUCAAGUGACUUCUCAUCAUCAUGGUUACGACCGCCCCCUAUUAAAUCCAACGCGCUCAAAUGUUGCUUCUCAUUCAAAUUAGCAGCCUUAAACUUCUCUUUUGCAUUUUUUACGAAUCCCAAAUUUGUUAUUGUUAGGCGUCCCCUUAAGUUGUUAAGCAGUCUCAAUUCACUUAGAUCUGCACCGCCAUGGGACCCAUCUUUAUCCACUACAAACUUGCUUAACGUCUCAAGUGAAGUCAGCUUCCCUAUUCCACGUGGCAUAUGAAGUCAGCUUCCCUAUUCCACGUGGCAUAUGAGUUAAACUAUCACAACCUUCACACCCAAGAUGGGUAAGAUUCACCUUUAUCCAACUUCCAUAUUUGUUAUUAGUAGUAGCAUUUUAUUUUUCUUUUAAAUAUACAUAUAUUUAUUAAGAAAGGAUCGAAGCUUUUAUUUUUCUUUUAAAUAUACAUAUAUUUAUUAAAAAAGGGUCGAAGCUUUUAACUUGUUUAUUAUUAGGGAAAAAAAUUAAAUUUAUACAUGAAUUUUAGUUAAAUGAGUAAUUUGAUACAUGAAUUUUGAUGUGGUAUAAUUUCCACAUGAAACUUGUAUUGUGGGUCAUAUAUAUAUAUAUAUAUAUAUAUAUAUACAUGAAAUUUUAAUUCUGAUUCAACUGUACACAUGUAAAAAAAUGCAUAUAUAUAUAUAGAUAUAUAUAUUACAUUGGAUUAAUAUAAUUGUUUGUCUAUGCAAUAUAUCAAAGUAAAAUGUAAGAGGUUGACUUGGCAUAUCCCAAAACAUUUUGUCAUAGCUUGGAUGGUCAUUCUCGACAAGUUGCCUAUCACUGGCGAAGCCUAGUAGAGACUCCUAAAAUGGUAAAUUUUUAAUUUAGACUUUUUAUAAUUUAUAAAAUUUUAAAUUAAUAAUGAUAAAAUUAUAAUUUAAUCCUCUAAAAAAUUAUAAAAAUUUAAUUUAACUCUUUAAAAAUUAUAAAAAUAUACUACUAUAAAAAUAUAUAAUUUAAUUCCGAAUAAAAAAUUUAGUUCAGCUACUAUUGCGUACAAAAGAAAAAUUAAUUUCGUUUUGGACCUAAUAUCGAGGGUGAUUGCAAACUGUGAGAUACAACACGUGGAGAGAUAUUGGUUUUAUGCAGCUCCAUGGGAAUGUAUUUUAUUAUACCAUCAUGCAGAUUGCUUCCAGUGCUCAUAUCUAUUUAAUUAUUUUAAUACACAUAAAAUUGUUUAUUGUGAGUUGGAUGAUUUUGGUUUAUUUAUUUAAGAUAUUUUAUUUUUAAAUAUAUUCUUAAUUAUUUAUUUUACAUAUACAUGUUUUUUAAUUUUUAAUUAUUUUAACUUAAUAUUUUUAAUAGUGAUUUUUUUAUAUAUAUAAAAAAAGGACCCAAAGGUCACUAUCUCAUUUUAAGUUGCACCAUAAAUUACAAUGUUAUGGAUAUCGCUAGGAUAAUUUAUCUCAAAAGAUAAAUUACAACACUUAAAAAGGGCCCAAUUACAAAGAAUUGGCUAAUUUGUUACAACCACGUUUCACCCAUUUGACCUUGGCGGAAACAAAAGAAUCAAGCCUCUUGUGAGCUCCUUGAUGAAGUGAUCAAUUAUCAUUAUGUCCUCCUUGUGAAAACUAAAGCGGUUGACAAUGCUAGCACAAUCUGUUUUAAAAAUAACAUUAUCGGCUUUAAGAAAUUGAGCAAGUUGAAAACAUUGAUGAGGGCAUCUAAUACCGCUUUAAUAGUGAUUUUUUAUUCUCAUUUUAUCGGUAUAUUUAUAUUUGAAAUAAAAUACAUAUUCUACAAUUAACUUUAAUCUCACUGUUACAAUACCUACAAUCCGCGUGUAUGUUACAUUAGCAAAAUCAACAUACGUUAAUUUUUCACUCAUUUUGGGGUGAUUUGACAAAAAUUACAAGUUUAAGAACUAAAAGAAAUGAAAAAUUAAAUGGAGAGUUGAAAUAACUUUUUUCUAUAAAGUUGAGAUCAAAAGAAUCAUUAUGGCAAAAAAAAAUAGUUGUUGUUCUUCUUCUUUUUUUUUUUUUUUGUAUUUUUUAGUGCUAAAAUUCAAGAUGGUGCGGAAUAGUUUCUAAUCUUAUUAUUGUUAUAUAUGUUUUCGACCCCACUAGAGCUAAUCUCACAGUCUAUAUAAAGAGAGCCUAAAUAUAAUUUGUUCAGCUUCUUUUAAACAUGUUAGUUCUCCUUUGUAUGAUCAUUUACCUCCCGUGAGUAGGGUUGAGUAAAUAAAAUAAAAAUAAUAAUUAAAAAUCGAUCCAAAUCAAGGUGUUUAGACGGUUUAUGGAAUAUAAAUUAAAAAAUCACAAUUAUUCAAAAUCGAAUCAAAUUUUAUUCUUUAUUUUAAUUUAUAAAUAAAUUUAUUUUUAUAAUAUAAAAAUAAAUAUUUUAUAUUUAAAAAUAGUGAAAAUAAAUAAAUAUAUUUUAAAAAUAUUAUAUAAAAGUAUUUAAUUAUUUUUAUCUACUUAAAAUAAUUUUAAAAAAUAUCUAUGAAAAAAACUUUGAAAAUUUGUCAAAUGAUAUUUAAAAGCCGUAAAAUAAAGUUUAUUUUAUUAAAAUAAUUAUAAAAAUUUAUAAUAACAAAAUCGAACUAAACUAAAUUAUAAUGGACGGAUAAAAAAAUAGAAUCGAAUUAAACUAAUAUCACUUGAUUUUAUUGCACCAAACUGGACAUAAAGGAUCUUCUUAAAAAAUUUAACCUGCAAUGAGAUUGUUUUCCUCACUAUAACCUUCUAGAGGUGUUAUAUAAGUACAUAUCAUAUGAUAAUUAUAAAUUUAAUUAUUUAAUUCUUAUAAAAAUUAAAUAUAUUACAAAUUAAUAUUUAUAUAAUAUAUAUUAAAUACAUGUAAAUUUAUAAUCAUAAAUAUAUUUUUAAUUAUUAUUUGAUAUAAAUAAUUUUAUUAUAUUUUAUUAUUUUCAUUUAUAUAAAAUAUAGUCCUUGAAUGUUGAAGUCUAAACCCAACCCUUAAACAAAGGAAUUAAAUUUAAAGUUGAGAAAGAUAUGGAUGGUAGGAAUGGGAGCAUAAGCAUGUAGAAGCAAUGGUGGCAUUUCAUCUUAUUAGCAGCUUUGGAAUAGAUUGUUAAGGAUGAGUAGGAAUCUGUAUGCUUAACCAUUAACCCAAACAUAUCGUAGAGAUUGAUUGUUCGCUUGUCAAAAUAUUAUACUAACAAAUUAGGCAUAAUCACUUAUUUAGCUCUCCAGCUUUAUAAUAAAAAAUUAUUUUAGUCAUUCAUUUAAAUUUUUGUCUCUUUUAGUCUUUAAACUUGUAUUGUUUAUUAAACCAACCCCAAAAUAAAUGAAAAAAUUAACAUUUAUUAACUUUGUUGAUGUGGCUUCCACAUGGAAGCCAAUGUGUAUGCCACAUUAGCAAUUGAUUAUUUUUUUAAAAAAUUUUAAAAUAGUUUUUAAUAAUUUUUAUACUUUUUAGAACUUUUAAUAAGUUGUAUACUUUUUUUUUAUAUUUAAAACAUUAGUUAAUUGCUAAUGUGGCAUGCAUGUGUAUGCCAUGCAAUUUUAAGGACUAAAUUGAUUUUUUCAUAAAGUUAGAAGGUUAAACAAAUCAUUAUGCCAAAAUAUAAUAUAGAAUUUAUAAAAAUGAAAAUAUUUAUAUUUAUAUUUUAUAUUUGUUUAAGUUCGGCCUGGUCCGAAAUAUAAACUUAAAAUCUGUUCAAAUUUGUAAACAGUUAACUCAAACUAAUUUUAAAUCCACUCAUACUAUUUUAAAAAAAAUUAAAUGAAUUUAUAUUAUUUUUAACUUAAUAUUUAAUAAUUUUACAUUUUUAUUGAAAUUUUAUAUAUAGUCAUCUUAAGAUUAUAAUAGUAUUAUAAUUUUUAUUUUUAUUUGUUACAAAUUACAUAAUAUAUAAAAUUAACAUAAUAUAAAAUAUUGCAAACUUAAAAAUUGGGUCGGGCCAAACUUAGGCUUUGAAUAUUCAAAUUUAAGCUCGACCCAUAUUUUAAACGGGCGGCCUAUUUUUUGAAUUUAAUAGUUUUACCCAAAUCCUCUAAAAUUUAAAAUCAACCUUUCAGCUUGACAAAGAACAGUAAGUCUCUUUCCCUUUUCUUUCCCUAUUGUUUUGGAUAAACAAUACAGUAAGAUCAGCUGAUGAAGAAUGCAUACAGAUCGACUUUCAACAAAGAAAAAGAAAGAACAAAUGUGCAUAGAGAGGAGGAUUUCAUGGGAGCACAAUGCCAUGGACAGAUCAGCUGAUGAAGAAUGCAUGUCCUGCUUUUUGGCUCUUCCAUUGAACUCAUGCUGAAAAAGAAGCAGCUUUGUUACGAGGUUAUAUUAGAUCAUUUGAAAUUAUGAGAUUAUUAUGAUUUUAAAAAUGUAGAGCAAUUAAGUAAUUACCACCAGUUUUUCUGCAUCUAAAUUCUUAAAGUUGUCAAAUGCCUUUCAGAAAAAUGCAUGCCAAUCGAAUAUGUGGGCAGAUAAACAAAUGAGGGAAGAAAGUACGAUCUCUGCUUUUUGUAUUACAUGCUAUGCUCUGCCGAAGAAUAAAGCCAAAAGCUAACAAAAAUGAAGGGUAAAAAGAUCAAAAAUUUCAAGAUAAAACAUAAAAUUGUAUGUAAAUAUGAUUAAGAUUUAAAAUUGGAAAAUGAACAAAGCAGAGCAUGAAGUAGAAGCAUAUUGAAGGCUGGCAUGCAAGCAUUUUGGAAAAUGUCCAUUGGGUACCAAUAAAGAUUUUUUAGAAUUAAAGUAUUAGAAGCUAUGAAAUGAUAGAUAUGAGCCACCAAAAUGCUUCACACUAAAUCUAAAUUAUUCAAUUUUGUUUUAUGGAAUCAAAUAGAAAAUAAAUGAGUGGCAUGAAUUACCUGUCAUUCCUUGUUGGUAUUUGGUGUAAGCUGCAAUUUCAAAUGUGUAUACACAGAUGGAUUUCAUCAGAUCAUUUCGAUGGUGAGAUUAAUAUAAUUUAAAAGCGUAAAGCAUUUAGCUAGAUUACCACUUUUUUUUUCUGCAUUUGAAUUCUUGAAAUUGCCAAAUUCGUUUCACUAAAAGUCUUCGAUGCUUACUGCACAAAAUAGCCAAAUAAAAUGAUAAAUGAAGAAAUUGCACCCAAAGCUUGUUCUAUUUUGGCAAAAGAGGCUGUAGUUGGAGAGUCAAUAUACCAACCUGUAGCGAUAUGAGCAAUCUUAUGCCAAUCCGCACCAAUCCCCUUCCGACAUCUUUCCUCCAACUGAGGAAUUCGUUUCAUAAAGAACUCUUCCAAACUGGUUCUCGUCCGGAAGCGAUGUUAAAUUAGGCAAAUCAGAGAGAAUAAGCCUUGGCAGAUUUGUUUGAUGUUGAAGCCACUCCGGAAGAUGGCGACACUUUGGAAUCUUUGCCAGCGCUAGAGAGCGCAGGCUUAUAUGAUCUUGGAAUAUUUGGAACUUAGGUGCAGAUAACUCCAGCUCCUUGUGUCACGGACUUGGAGUUUUCCCACACAUCCGUGCGGCCUUAGGCAGUUUCUUGGCUUAAAAACGCCUAAGUCAGCCUAACUUCCACCGAUAAAGGAUUCAACAGCAAAAACGCCUAAGUCAGCUCAACUCGCAACAAUAAAGGAUUCAACAGAAUUCCCUUAAAGUUUCCACGAAGAACAGCGGAAGAACGAAAUAAGAACGAUCUUUGGAAGAUGAACAAAAGCAAGAACACUUGAGAGAAAAGUUUGAGUAAAUGCUCUCAAUUCUUAUUCACAAAGAAUAAUGAAACAAUUCAGGAGUGAGUACAAAUGAGGGGGAGGCUCUCUAUUUAUAGUUGAGCUCCCCCAAAACCGAUGGCUACAAUUAAAAGCUGUAUUCGAUUAGGACUCUAAGUUUACAGAAUUAGAAGCUGUGAACAAUUAGAACUUCUAAGACUACAUAGUCCUAUCUUCAUUAUCGGGCCCAUCAGGCUUCAAUCUGACAGGCCUGUCCAACAGCUCUUUGAAUCGGGCCAGUUCUCGUAGGCCAAAUGAUCCCCAUCUGAGCAACAGACCUCCAUUGGAUGCAUUUGGUGCGCUGGUCACGGGCUUUAAACUGCGGCCCGUGACAUUUUCCCCCACCCAUUCUCGCAACGCCCUCGUUGCGACUUCUGAAUGGCACUGACUUGAUUCGCCUCGGUCUCGUCUCGUCGCCUUAGCCUUUCCCUUUCUUCGGGAUUUUUGCCUCGGCUUCUGUUGCUUCUUAACUCGAGCCAUCCUACUCGUCGCAUUUACUCUGGUCAACUGUCCCACAUGCAUCGCUUCUUUUCCUUUGAAGUCUGAUGCACCACCCACCUCUCCCAUAGGUGGAAGCCUUGUCGAUGACUCGGCCAACUCCGACGCUUCACUCAACUUGAGCCUCAUUGGUUUCAGCUUCACUGUUUUCAUCGCAACUCUUUCCUCUAAGUUCGAUGACAAACUCACCUCUUCCUUGGGUGGAAGCCCCUUCGAUGACUCACCAAGCUCAGACGUUGCCUUUCUUUUGACUCCGGCUUGCUUUGGACAGUUCCGCAACUCAUGCGGACCACGGCACAAGAAGCACUUAACUCGCUUAUUUUUGCUCCUCUUUGCCCUCUUGGCUUCGGCUUUACCCUUGCUCGAACCAAGCUUCUUGGGUUCCUUGUCUGCUCCAUCGUUCCCCUCGAUGACAGACUUCUUCGGACACUUCCGCCUUUGUUCGAACUCUUCUUUCGACAUCCCAACGGUGCCUUUGAACCAACAACUCGAAUAUUACUUGGUUCAAACCUUGGCUCGGAUACCACUUGUCACGGACUUGGAGUUUUCCCACACAUUCGUGCGGCCUUAGGCAGUUUCUUGGCUUAAAAACGCCUAAGUCAACCUAACUUCCACCGAUAAAGGAUUCAAUAGCAAAAACGCCUAAGUCAGCUCAACUCGCAACAAUAAAGGAUUCAACAGAAUUCCCUUAAAGUUUCCACGAAGAACAGCGGAAGAACGAAAUAAGAACGAUCUUUGGAAGAUGAACAAAAGCAAGAACGCUUGAGAGAAAAGUUUGAGUAAAUGCUCUCAAUUCUUAUUCACAAAGAAUAAUGAAACAAUUCAGGAGUGAGUACAAAUGAGGGGGAGGCUCUCUAUUUAUAGUUGAGCUCCCCCAAAACCGAUGGCUACAAUUAAAAGCUGUAUUCGAUUAGGACUCUAAGUUUACAGAAUUAGAAGCUGUGAACAAUUAGAACUUCUAAGACUACAUAGUCCUAUCUUCAUUAUCGGGCCCAUCAGGCUUCAAUCUGACAGGCCUGGCCAACAGCUCUUUGAAUCGGGGCAGUUCUCGUAGGCCAAAUGAUCCCCAUCUGAGCAACAGACCUCCAUUGGAUGCAUUUGGUGCUCUGGUCACGGGCUUUAAACUGCGGCCCGUGACACUUGCAGUUACUUAUUGCAUGCCCUCUAAAUCAACCUCCUUGCAAUCUCCUAUUGUCAAUUUUUUGAGGCCGGUGAAAACAGAUUAAUGGAAACCUUGUAGUUUUCAAAGGUGAAUAAAUAAGGACAAUUAAGAUUGGUGUUAACAAUUUUUACUAAUAUUUUGAAAACAUUUUAAAUAAGUUAAUAUAUAUAAUAUAAAAAAUCUAUAAAAAUUUUAAAAUUCAAUUAUUGUAAUAUAAAACUUUCAUAUCUAAAAACUCUAACUUAAAUUAAACUAUUUCAAUUGAAUCCAACAAACAAAUUGGACCGAAAACCAAUUAAUAUGAUUGGUUCGGCCACCUCUUAACCAGAACAACAUUAGUAUGUGAAUUUAAUUUCGUAUUUAUUUAAUUUGGUUAGCACAUAUUAAUAGUUUUCAUAUUCUCUUUAGUUUUUGUAUUUUGGGAUUGUGUAAAAUUUAAAAUUUUAGAUAUUUUUAUGUUCAUAUUUUCUUUUAUAAAUAUAUAGGGGUAAGCUCUCACUAAUUUUCUCAAGCUUUUAGGAGUUCCUUCUAUUGAAGCAAUAUCAUGAGCGAAUCUAUAAUCAAUAUAUAUGAGAAAGAAAAAAAUAUAAAAAAAGUAAAAUAAAAAAAUAAAAAUAGACUUGAACACUUAUGGAUGUUCAAUUUAUAAUAAGCUUAGGUAAAAGGGUUAAAAUAAUCAAACUAUUGUCUAACUCAUGCUAUGAAAAAGAAAUCACAAUUAAAAAAAGAAUAUCGUAUGCUUCAAUGAAAGUCACAAUUUAUCUUUGAUCAUGCUUGUUCGCAACUAAGUAGCUAUAAUGUAACUACAUGUUCCUACAGACCUCGCUCUAGUUGACUUUGCCCUAUGAUCCUUUAGCCGAAUUUGUGAUGUCUAUAUUUUAAUAUGCGAGGUAUUUAAAAAAAUAGAUACAUCAAUUUAUUUUUGUAGUGGGUGAAUAUAAUUAUUUAUUUAUGCAAUAUAUAAACAUAAAAUGAUGUCAUAUUAAUAAUUUAUGAAAAUUAGAUCAAAUUAAAAUUUCAUGUAUAAAAUUACAUAUUAUGCCAAAGUUUAUAUAUAGUUUUGAGAUUUAUCCCAUUUUCCUAUUAACUUAGCCAUUAGCUUGAGCAUUAAAUGUUCGCUCAAAUAUGAUAGGGGACAUACUUAAAACACAUGUGUACAUGCUAUAUAGGCAACUUGAAUCUAAUGUGUUAAAAAAAGAAGAAGAAGAAAUAAUCCUCUUAAAAUUUAUAAUCUCGUCGUAUUUUUAAUAUGUUAUAAUCAAGUUAUCAAUAUGAUGAGUCCACAAGUAUUUACAAUUUAAUCCAUGUCAAAUGAGAACAGAAAUUUAAAAUCUAAAUUGAUAGCUACAAAAAUGAAAUGAUUUUAUUGUUAUAAUAUUAAUACUUUCAAAACUUAAUUAAAAUAUUUUAAAAUUUACAAAUUAAUUCUAAAACAAUAUUUAAUAAAUUGAGAAUAUUUAAUACAAAUAACUUCUUAUUUGAAUAUAAAUAAUUAUAACACAUUUAUUAUUAAAUGAAAAUAAUAUUGUUUGGUUGGAAAUGGUCCCACCGUGUUUUACGUUUGGGGAACAAAGCGACGGCGUUUUAGUUGGAGAAGAAGGGAGUAACGUUGUUAAGUACAUCAUUUUGUUUAUUUUCGUUUUAAAUUUGUUUUCUCGUUUUCUAUUUGAUGCCGUUAAUAUUCUUUUUUGGGUAAACUAUAUUAAAAGUCAUUCAACUAUUUUAAAAAGUACAAAAUGAUCACCAAAUUAUUAGUAAUUUCUUUUAUCUAAUUAUGAAAAGUUACAAAAUAAUCAAUAAACUGUUAUUUUUUUCCUUUUCUUUCACCCAACUAUCUUGGAUUUUUUGGUAUUUUCUAUUUUUUCAUUAGCCAACUAAUGAUAAAAAUGAUAAAAUUGAAUCGUUGGGAGACUAUUUUGUAACUUUUCAUAAUUGAGUAACCAAAAAGGAAAAAAAAAACUUAGUUGGGUGACUACUAAAGUAGGUUACCCUUUUUUAGGUUAAAAUAUGCCAUAUGUCCUUGUACUCGCCAUAAAUUUGAAAUUUAGUCUCUAUACUUGUAUUUAUAGGAAUUUAAUUCUUUUACUUUUUAAAGUUCAAAUUUCAGGUCCAAUUGUUAAUACUGUUAAAUUAACCAUUUAAUGAUAGAGGGACUAAUUUGUAUGCAGUCCCUACAGUACCGGUACUUUAACCCUUAUAUAUAUAUUUGAAUUUUAUUUUAGGAUUAAAUUGAAAAUUUGAAAAAAGUAAGAGUUCAAAAAGGUAAAAACAAAUGAAAUUAGCACAUUAACUUACAAUUAUAUACCCUUUCUUUUCCCUCCUUUUCUACUCUAUAUCUCUCUAAUGUCAGAACUAAAACCCUCAUUUUCUCUCCCUUCCUAUUUCCCUAUUGCAAUUAUACCCACCUCGUUUCCCCUCAAUAUCAUAAACCUCCAUGUUCGGGAUGGUCUUAUGCUGCCGUAUUAACCUCCUCCUACGGCUUCAACAGUACCAGCUUCGACGGUUCCUCCGGUUGUUCCGCCGAUACGUCGUCACCUGGCCUUCGAUUCGACGAAGCCGCUGUUUGUUCAUCCCGAUGAUUAUCACAGAUUUUCAUCUAGUAAUAGUCGUGGAAUCGUCACCGAUCAGGAAGUUGAAGCUGAACAUUUAAUGCUGUGCUCUAUAUGAAGAAAGCUUGAUGGGUGUUAGUUCUUUUGAUGUUUGUAGAAUAAUAAAAGAAAACUUCUCAAGUUUAUUGGAUGCUAACAUAUUGUUAUAUACAAGCAAGGAAAGGAAGUAACAGAAAGUAACAGAAAAAUAACUACUAACUGACUAACAAGAAAUUAAUUUAAAACUAUAUGACUAAUAGCCCCCCUCAAGCUGGAGAGUGAAUGGGAAACAGUCCCAGCUUGGACAAAAUAAGCUGGAAGGGAACAGCAGGCAGAGCUUUGGUGAAGAUGUCAGCAAGCUGGUCUUUGGAAGAAUAAGGAAGCAAUUUGACAACACCGGACAACACUUUUUCACGAACAAGAUGACAGUCGAUCUCAAUAUGUUUAGUACGUUCAUGAAACGUAGGGUUUGCAGCAAUUUAGAGAGCAGAAUUGUUGUCGCAAAAAAAAGCAGUAGGCCCAGAAAUAGACAGAUGCAAAUCAGACAGAAGAAAUCGAAGCCACUGAAUUUCACAAACAGUAGAUGCAAGAGCCCUAUAUUCUGCUUCUGAGGAAGAGCGAGACACGGUGCUUUGCUUCUUGGCUUUCCAACUAACAAGGGAAUCUCCAUAAAAUAGGUAGUAACCAGUCACGGAGCGACGUGUGAGAGGACAACCAGCCCAAUCAGAGUCACUAAAUGCCUUCAGUGUAGGCGAAGAAGAAGCAGAAAAGAAAAUACCAAAGUCAAUGCAUCCUUUCAGGUAGCGAAGAAUGCGAUGGGCAGCUUGAAGGUGAGUGACUAUAGGUCGGUCCAAGAAUUGACUUAACUGUUGAACAACAAAAGCAAGAUCAGGUCUAGUAGAAACCAAAUAUAAUAGGCGUCCAAUAAGUUUUCUGAAAAUAGUGUUAUCAGGAAGUAAUUCGUCAGAAGCAUCGCGAGGGAUUUUAGUAACCAUAGGAGUUGUAACAGGCCUGCAAUCUGAGAAACCAAAAUCAGCCAGUAGAUCGAGAGCAUAUUUUUGCUGGCAAAGAUGAAUACCAGCAAAACUACGAGCAACUUCAAGGCCAAGAAAAUACUUGAGAUCCCCCAAGUCUUUGAUGCUAAAGGCAGAAUGCAAAAAGGCUUUUACCCGUGUGAUUUCUUCCAAAGAAUCACCAGCUAGAAUAACAGCAUCAACAUAAACCAAUAAGGCAGUAAAGGAAAUUUCAUCCUUUUUAACAAACAGAGAAAAAUCUGAAGUAGAUUGAACGUAACCAAUUGUAGUGAGAGCUGCAGUGAGUUUGGCAAACCACUGUCGACUAGCCUGCUUGAGACCAUAUAAUGAUUUUUGCAACUUACAAACCUUAUGGGAAGUGGAGGAAGCAAAACUAAGAGGCAAAAACAUAUAAACUUCUUCAGUCAAAUCUCCAUGCAGAAAUGCAUUGUUAACAUCAAGCUGGUGCAAAAACCAGUCUUUGGAAGCAGCAAUAGCAAGCAAUAAUCGAACAGUAGUAAUCUUGGCCACAGGGUAAAAAGUAUCAAAAUAAUCAACACCCUCAGUUUGUGUGAAACCUUUAGCAACCAAACGAGCCUUGUAACGCUCAAUAGAACCAUCGGCUCGAUAUUUCACACGAUAGACCCAUUUGCAACCGAUUGCAAUUUUGCCUGAAGGUAAGUCCAUAAUGAUCCAGGUGUUAUUUUGUUCAAGAGCAGAAAUUUCAGCUUGCAUUGCUUCUUGCCAAUGGGGAAUUUUGCUAGCUUGUAAAUAGGUUGUAGGUAUGGGAGAAGCAUUGAUAGCAAGAGUAAUAGGUGUGGCGCAUCGAAGAUGAUUGGCAACAGUUUUGCUGGAAAAGCAGUGAUACUGGUCUAAAUAUGAAGGAGGUUUCCUAAGACGAGGUGGCCUAGAGGGUUGUAAAGGAACGGGAGGUGAGGGUUGUGAUUGAAUUGGCAAGUCAUAGGUAAUGGUGGGGUCAAAGGUUAACUGUGGGAUGGAAGAGGAAGAAGAUGGUUGUUGAGAAAAAGGGAAAACGGACUCAUGGAAAUGGACAUUUUUGGAUAUAAAAAUGGCAUGGGUUGAUAGAUCAAAAAGAAUAUAGCCUUUGACAUGAGGUGGAAAACCAAGAAAGACACACUCACGUGCUCGAGGAUCCAACUUAUGACGAUGAGCAGUAAGAGUGGUUGCAAAACAAAGACAGCCAAAGACACGGAGGUGCUGAAAAGAUGGCUUAGUUUGGUAUAACUUGUCAAAAGGGGUAAGGUUAGCCAAAAUGGGAGUAGGGGUACGAUUAAUAAGAAAAACAACAUGAAGAAUAGCAUGUCCCCAAAAAUGCUUAGGCAAAUGAGAAUGAAAUAAGAGAGCCCGUGCAACAUUAAAAAUGUGUUGGUGCUUGCGUUCUACAAGACCGUUUUGUUGUGGGGUUUCAACACAUGUAGUUUGAUGAAUUGUGCCUUUGGAAGCAUAAAAGGCUAGAAUGGCAAACUCACAACCAUUGUCAGAUCGAAUGACUUUAAUUUUAGAUGAAAAUUGAGUUUCAACAAGUGUGAAAAAAUUCUGAAUGUGAGUACGAACUUCAGAUUUUGCUUUCAAUAAAAUAAUCCAAGUAAAGCGACUAAAAUCAUCAACAAUGGUUAAAAAAUAACGAUGACCAGUAAUGGAAAUAACAUCAGUUGGACCCCAAAUAUCAACAUGAACAAGUUCAAAAAUUUUAUUGGAAAUGGAAGUGCUUACAGGAAAAGAUAAUUUCUUUUGUUUGGCCAAAUGGCAGGCUGUACAAGGUGCAUUAUUUGACAAAGACAAAGAAGGAAUGUAAGGGAAAAGUAGUUUUAGUCGAGAAUCAGAAAGAUGACCGAGACGAUGAUGCCAAAGGGAACAUGAAGAUGUGUUGGCUGACAAGGCAAUGGGAGCAGAAAUGGAAAAAGUUUGAGCUGGGAAAUCCAAAAUAUAAAGACCAUGGAGCACUCUAGCUGUACCAAUCAUAUUCGAAGAAGGAAGAGCCUGUAUAGAACAAUGAUUUUUAUGAAAAGUAAAGGAACAAGGUAAUAUAGCAGUGAGUUUAGUAACAGAUAAAAGAUUAAAGGUAAAUUGAGGAACAUAGAGAACAUUAGUAAUGUAAAGACUAUUAUUGAAAAUGACUGUACUAGAAAUUCGAGCACAAACUUUAGUGCCAUUUGGAAGGUUGAUGUAUAUAGGUUUAAUGGAAUGAAAAGAAGCAAAAAAUGAUAAAGAGUGAGCAAUGUGAUCAGUGGCACCUGUGUCAAUGAUCCAAUGAUGGGAUUGAAGAGAAAAUAGGUUACCUGAGGAUGGGAAAGGGUUCGGUUGUGAGGAAGAAGCAGUAUUGGUAACAUGAGGUGGGGAGGUAGAUGCUGGAAGUAAUGCAAGUAGCUGUUGCAACUGAUCUUGUGUCAAAGUAACAGAAGGAUCAGAUGGCAAAAUAUCAACAUGCUGCGAAGAGUCCAAAGGUUGUGAAGCACAAUCAUUAAGCGCUGUAUGUGCACAAGAGGCCCGACCUCGAGACUUGUAACCAGGUGGAUAUCCAUACUUUUCAUAACAAGUAUCAACAGUAUGCCUAGAUUUGCCACAGAAGGUACAUUGCCAUGAAUCAGUAAAUGAUUUAGCCUGAGGUUUCUUUGAAGAACUGUGGUGGCGCAGUGUGUUGCUAACAAACAACUGAGAUGAGCCAGUAGGAAGGUGACGUUCUUGUUGAAUAACCAGGGAAAAUACUUUGUUGAUUGGAGGCAAGGGAUCAAUAAGCAUGAUUUGAGAACGAACAGCAGCAAAUCGAUCAUGAAGACCUUUAAGAAAACGAAUAACGUAGUCGUUAUCAUGAUAUUUCUGGAGAGUGACAAAAACACCGCAAGAGCAAGAUGGUGAACAAGAACAAACUGGAAUUGGUCGAAAAUUCAUCAACUCAUCCUAGAGAAUUUUUAACUCAGUAAAGUAAUCAGUAACGGAACGAUCAUCUUGCUUGAAAGCAUUGAUCUCUUCUUGGAGAGCAGAAAUGCGGAAAACAUCACUUUGAGAAAAGCGUUCACGAAGUCGGGCCAAAGAACACUGUUCAUGAUCGAGGGCGAGAUGGAAUGGUGCAACCAAGAAAGCACCAUAGUGUUACAUCGUUCCCAGGCAGAAUAAAGAGGAUCCGUUCGAGGUGGAACCGUGAUGGUGCCGUCAACAAACUGAAGCUUGUUCUUGGAUAGAAAUGCCAUUGUCAUAGCUCGAGACCAAGAGUGAUAGUUUGAGCUUGAUGAGACAGGAGAAACAAGAACCAAAGCUGGAUUUUCAUUUGGAUGCAGAUAGUAUGGGCUAGAAGGCAGCAUAGUAUCAUGAAAUGCCAUUGGAAGAAAAGGGAAUCAAGAAUGCAGAUUAUGGAGAAAGCAAAAUAUAACGUCUGAUACCAUGUAGAAUAAUAAAAGAAAACUUCUCAAGUUUAUUGGAUGCUAACGUAUUGUUAUAUACAAGCAAGGAAAGGAAGUAACAGAAAGUAACAGAAAAAUAACUACUAACUGACUAACAAGAAAUUAAUUUAAAACUAUAUGACUAAUAAUGUUUUGUCUUUGAUGGAUGUUUGAAAAAUGAUUCAGUUGAUAUCCAUAAUGUCUAUCACUAUAGUUUCCCCCUUAUGCAUAAUUCGACUGCUCUGCUAGUUUUGUCGGACAAAAUUAUAUUCGCAUAUUAUAUUCUUUUUCUUUAUUGUCUUCAACGCGAUAACAAGUGAAUUACUAGUUACUUUACUUGAUUUUUUCAUGGCAUUUAUCUCUUUGAGUUUUGGCCUUUGUGAAUUAACUUUUGAAUCAAGUAACGAAGCAUUUCUGAUGGUUCUUAUGGCUAACAGUAAGUUUUCUUGUACAAGCUGUCGCACUUAUGCAUUUGUUAAACUUAUGCUCUUUUUUAUUUUAUUUUCUUCAAUUCAAUUGGUUGUUAACGUUGAUAUAACCGUGCACAAAUACUAAGGGACCUUGUAAUUUUGCCUGCCAUUGCCAGUACUUCGAAAUAUUGCUGAUUUUUCUCAGCAAUUAAAAAGGAAGAGCGCAGCAGACAAAAAUGAUGUUGAGUCUAGCCAAUGGACAAGCAGUCCGGGGGUUACCUGUAUAUGGUAAAGGAGGAAGGAUAAAUAAUAGAUCAAAGACAUCAAAAGCCAAUAAAUCAAUGCCUCACACACCUGUGUCAAAUGCUGGUGCGAUACUAUUUCCUACUGGCUUUGUCCAUAGAAGGAAACUUAUGAUUCACCCCACGGCUCUAUCAUCAAUGCCUCAUUGCUCGAAUUAAGAGAGAUGGAUUUUGUAGAAGAGGAAUCACUGACAUUAUAAAUGAUAAUUGGCAGGUUGUCCAUCUCCUCUUACACCUGUGGCAGCUGCUGUUUAGAUAGUCCUUUAGUUAAUCUUUACUGCCCAUUCUUUUUUCUUUUACUAUAGUCUGUUUUAGCUCCUUAACCUGCUAUGGAUGGUGAGAACGACAAUAAUGCAGUCCCCAUUUUUAGGUCUGUUGACGAAAAAGUUUGUCAAUCUGAUGAAGCAUGCUGAUUUGUCAAUCUGAUGAAGCAUGCUGAAGAUGGUAUCCUUGACCUAAAUAAGGCUGCAGAAACAUUGGAGGUAAUGAAAUACUAGCGAGCUUAUGUAUCAUUGGGUGUUUGUUGAGUAUUUUUUUCAUGUUACUUAAAGGGUUCUUUUGUCCUUUAUUUUUCCCUGUAAAUGUUGUAACAGGUGCAGAAGAGGAGGAUAUAUGAUAUAACAAAUGUCUUGGAGGGCAUCCCUUCAUCUGAAUACUGUUUGGAACCCUAAAAAAACAUAAAUGUGUUUUUUCCUGAGAUGGCACGUAUUUUGCAAUAAGAAAAAUAAAGAGUACAAUUAAAAUGUUUAUGCAGUUCGGAACUUGUCCUAUGUCUGCGGAGCUUUGCCCAAAGAUGAAUCCACUAUGAACUUUAUAGUACAAAGAAAUGAUUUAAGCUUAACCCCUCAAACACUUUAUGCAAAUUCUCACUUUUGUACAAUUAAGUAAAUUCUCUCCCAACUCAUUUUAGCUAUGCAAGUGAAAAUUCACAUUCAACACUCACAUGAUUUUCCUACUAUGAAUAAGUUCUUAAUAAGCUCCAUAUAAGUGGAAUAAUAAAUUUUCAAAUGCAAUAUGUCUGGGAAUUGUCAUGCUUGAACAACGACUCUUCCAAAAGCAUCAAUGAAUCUGAAAAUUAUAAAUGCCAACAUAGAAUAUGUUACAAAUCCCGUUAUUAUCAGCCUUAUAUUUACACAUAUGUCUGUUUAGUAUAAUGCUGUUGAUAUAUAAAUAAUGAAACAUUUUAUCAACUUCAACCUCACCACCAAAUAUUCUGAAGCAUUUUCCUUUUUUUCCUGUUUGGACCUUCAAUAACAAAUUUGGCUGGAAUUCCAAACAGCUAAAAGAGUGCCCUGCAUCAAUGAAUAUUAAGAUGGUAAGCAAAAACAUAAAUAUAUAUAAAGAUAUGAUAGGUAAGUGCUUAAAUGAAGAAAGCAGAGCAUAUAGUACAACCAUUUUGAAGGCUUCAUGGGCCUCUCUCUCCACAUCAAUCAUUUUUUAGAAUCAAAAUAUUAGAAGCAAAUAGAUGAAUUAUCACCUCUUUUUAUGCAUAUAAAAUGAUUGAAGUUGACUAAUGCCUUUCUCCAAUGCCUUACUGCACAAAUCAGCAAAUAUAUUAUGAAAGAUGAUAAGUAAAAAGUAGGAUGAAAACAAAGGGAUUUUAACAAGGAAAUUAACAGUAUCCAACUUCAAUGAAAAAUGGCAUCAGACCCCUGACUUGGAGAUUCAAUAUACCACUCUUAUUUUUCUUCAAAAAAAGAUAAGGUCAUCAAAAUAAAUAAAUAACAAAGACAGACCAACCUGAUAUGACCCAAUGUUGGGGAUGUGAGCAAUCUUUUGCCAAUCAGCGCCAAUGUCCUUCCGACAUCUUUCCUCCAACUGAGGAAUUCCUUUUAUGUGUAAAUACUCCAAACUGGUUAGGCAACGCAUCCCGUCCGGAAGAGAUGUUAAAUUUGGCAAAUUAACAAGAUGAAGCCGUUGCAGAUUUGUUAGAUGUUGAAGCCACUCCGGAAGAUGCCGACACUUUGGAAUAUAUUCCAGCCGUAGAGAGCGUAGUCUUGUAUGAUCUUGGAAUAUUUGGAUGCCAGCUCCAGAUAACUCCAGCUCCUCGCAGUUCCUUACUUCAAACUCUUCAAGGAAAGUGAGAUGUUGGAACACAGGAAGCAGUGACCUCAAUCCAUUCCAGUUAUGAAUUUUUAAUGUUUUCAAUUGAACAAGAUGUUGAAGCCCAAUGGGGAGAGACACCAGCUUUGGAAUAUUAUCAAUCUCCAAAUGAGAGAGAUUCUUAAGGGGUUCCCCUUGCAUGCCCUCUAAAUCAACCUCCUUGCAAUUUCGUAUUGUUAAUCUUUUGAGGCUGGUGAGAUGUUGCAGGCACUCAUCUAGCGUGUAAGUGUCCAACCCCUCAAUGUUGUGUACAUCGAAAGAUUUCAAUUUGGAGAGUGGAAGAGAAGAGGUUGAAGUUGAUGGGGCCUUAGCAUUGAUGUUCAUCUUGAUAGUCUGCUUUAACGGCCUUGAACUGGUAUUCGACAACAUUAGAUCUUCACCGAGUGAUGGAUACAGUGGCAUUAAAGUCAAAGGGCAAUUUUGAAUUGUUAAAGAGGAAAGACAAGGAAAUGCCAUGGUUGAUGUUCCCAUAACUGUUGUGUCGUCCUCGUUGGAAUCAUCAUCGAUUGGUUUUGUCGUCCUCCACCAACUCUUCAUAUUUGGGCAAUCCUCGAGGUUAAGAAGCUUAAGCGAUGGGAAGAAUGAUUGUGGUUCUCCUUGACUUCCUUUUGGGCUAUUAUCAUCCAUGUACUCCAGCUUAGUACAAAACAUAAUAUCCAGCAGUUCAAGACAGGGCAAUUGAGCAAAGGACGGGAAAUAUUUGAAAUUACCACCACUUAUGAAAAUUUUGACGAGAUUUGUGAGCAAAGGAAGCCAACUUGGAAACUUGGCAUCACCCCUCCAUCCUCGAAUACAGAGCUCCUUUAGAUUAGGAUGGGGUUGGAGGUCUUCAAGUGAUUUAUCAUCAUCAUAUUCAUCAUCGUUAAAAUCAAAAUAAAAGCUCCAUUGUAAAACCAACGAUCUCAAAUGUUGCUUCUCAUUCAAAUUAGCAGCCUUAAACUUCUCUUUUGCAUUUUUUACGAAUCCCAAAUUUGCUAUUUCUAGAUGUCCCCUUAAGUUGUUAAGCAGUCUCAAUUCACUUAGAUCUGCACCGCCAUGGGACCCAUCUUUAUCCACUACAAACAUGCUUAACGUCUCAAGUGAAGUCAGCUUCCCUAUUCCACGUGGCAUAUGAGUUAAACUAAAACAAGCGUCACACCCAAUAUGGGUAAGCUUCACCAAUUUUUCAACCUUCUUUGGCAAUUCUUGAAGCCCACAACACCAGUCAAGUUUCAGCGCUAGCAAAUUCUGAAUCUUGCAAAUACUCUUUGGGAGAAUCUUGAUAUUGUAAUUGGAAGAAAGAUCAAGGUGCCUCAAAUGUUUCAACUUGUAAAUGGAGGGUGAAAUCAUCUGAAUACCUAACGAAUGCAAAUCCAAUACACGCAAGCAUCUACAAUUUGCAAUUAUCAAAUCCCAAGUUUCAUAGCUGAAAUCAUCACUCAAUUUUUGAUCUAUGUUGUCUUGAAAAUGUAACAAGGUUCGCAACUUCUUUCCCUUAAACAAAGGAAUUAAUGAAGGUUUAAUUGAUAUGUGGCGACAUUUUUCACCAACAUCACUUGCAAUUCUAUUUGAAUCUACAAUACUACUCUCCAUCCCUGCUACUGAUUCAGCUAGAUCAUGCAUUAAAUCAUGCAUUUUACAUGUUAGCCCUUCCCAUGAAUAUCUUUCUCCUACUUCUUGGAAGAAACUUCUUUCAACUAAAUCUUUAAAAUACCCAAACCCAAUCUCCUCCAGAGAUUGACUUUGAUUCAAUUGCUUUAUGAAACCCUGUGCAAUCCAAAAUUGAACAAGCGCUUGUACUUCAAUUCUGUAAUCUUUUGGAUACAAUCGGCAAUAAGCAAAGCAAUGCUUCAAAUGAGACGGGAGAUGAUCAUAACUCAAUUUCAGCAUAGGUAGAAGUUCUCCUUCAAUUUGUGAUAUUUUAGCAAGUUCAUUUUCUUUGAAAGAAUGCCACUCAUUUGCAGUUUUCUUCAAAGAUAAUGUACCAGCUAUCGUCCUUAUGGCUAAGGGAACCCCACCACACCUUUCCGAAAUCUGUC